rnacentral:rRNA from 1 species
AAAACUUUCAACAACGGAUCUCUUGGUUCUCGCAUCGAUGAAGAACGUAGCGAAUUGCGAUAAGUAAUGUGAAUUGCAGAUUUUCGUGAAUCAUUGAAUUUUUGAACGCACAUUGCGCCCUUUGGUAUUCCAAAGGGCAUGCCUGUUUGAGCGUCAU